UACAGAGGUCCCAAGCGUUGUUCGGAUUCAUUGGGCGUAAAGGGUGCGUAGGCGGUGGGGUAAGUUGGAUGUGAAAUCUUGGGGCCUAACCUCAAAAUUGCAUUCAAUACUGCUCCGCUCGAGUUCUGUAGAGGAGAUUGGAAUUUACGGUGUAGCAGUGAAAUGCGUAGAUAUCGUAAGGAACGCCAGUGGCGAAAGCGAAUCUCUGGGCAGCAACUGACGCUGAGGCACGAAGGCCAGGGGAGCAAACGGG
rnacentral:rRNA from 1 species